UACGGAGGGAGCUAGCGUUGUUCGGAAUUACUGGGCGUAAAGCGCACGUAGGCGGCUUUGUAAGUUAGAGGUGAAAGCCCGGGGCUCAACUCCGGAACUGCCUUUAAGACUGCAUCGCUUGAAUCCAGGAGAGGUGAGUGGAAUUCCGAGUGUAGAGGUGAAAUUCGUAGAUAUUCGGAAGAACAUCAGUGGCGAAGGCGGCUCACUGGACUGGUAUUGACGCUGAGGUGCGAAAGCGUGGGGAGCAAACAGG
rnacentral:rRNA from 1 species